rnacentral:rRNA from 1 species
UGGGGAAUCUUGGACAAUGGGCGCAAGCCUGAUCCAGCCAUGCCGCGUGAGUGAAGAAGGCCCUAGGGUUGUAAAGCUCUUUCGGCGGGGACGAUAAUGACGGUACCCGCAGAAGAAGCCCCGGCUAACUCCGUGCCAGCAGCCGCGGUAAUACGGAGGGGGCUAGCGUUGUUCGGAAUUACUGGGCGUAAAGCGCACGUAGGCGGGUCGUCAAGUCGGGGGUGAAAUCCUGGGGCUCAACCUCAGAACUGCCUUCGAUACUGGCGACCUUGAGUACGGGAGAGGUGAGUGGAAUUCCCAGUGUAGAGGUGAAAUUCGUAGAUAUUGGGAAGAACACCAGUGGCGAAGGCGGCUCACUGGCCCGUAACUGACGCUGAGGUGCGAAAGCGUGGGGAGCAAACA